AUGACCCGCCGCUGCCUGUGGUCGCUGUGCCUGCUGCUGGCGCUGCUGCUGCCGCCCGGAGUUCUGUCUCAGGGCUUUGACCUGGCCGACGCUCUGGAUGAGGUUAAUCCAACGACCCCUACCCCAAAGCCAGCAGCACCAGGUGGAGGAAAAGGCGGAGGAUUUAAUCUGGAGGACUCCCUUGACCUCACCACCAAAGCCCCGCCCAAGGUCACGCCAAAAGCCCCCGUGACUACCCCAGUGAAGCCUAAACCCAAACCAGCUGCGGAUGACUUUGACCUGAGUGAUGCCCUGGACUCCAACAAUGACAUUGGUAUCAAGGAUAAGAACAAGGGGCAGGGAGGUGGAUUCUCUGACAACGAUCUGUUUGAUGUCAGCAAAGACGAAAACUACCAUCCUGACAAAGGCAAAGGUAAUUCUGCACCUCUUCAGAAACCUGCGGUAAAGCCCAGGUAGAACCUGGUGGCUGAGGGA
ensembl:lncRNA